AACGAACGCUGGCGGCAGGCCUAACACAUGCAAGUCGAACGCUCCGCAAGGAGAGUGGCAGACGGGUGAGUAACACGUGGGAAUCUUCCUAUCGGUGCGGAAUAGCUCAGGGAAACUUGAGGUAAUACCGCAUACGCCCUCAGGGGGAAAGAUUUAUCGCCGAUAGAUGAGCCCGCGUCUGAUUAGCUAGUUGGUGGGGUAAUGGCCCACCAAGGCGACGAUCAGUAGCUGGUCUGAGAGGAUGACCAGCCACACUGGGACUGAGACACGGCCCAGACUCCUACGGGAGGCAGCAGUGGGGAAUAUUGGACAAUGGGCGCAAGCCUGAUCCAGCCAUGCCGCGUGAGUGACGAAGGUCUUCGGAUUGUAAAGCUCUUUUGCCAGGGACGAUAAUGACGGUACCUGGAGAAUAAGCCCCGGCUAACUUCGUGCCAGCAGCCGCAGUAAUAC
rnacentral:rRNA from 1 species